rnacentral:rRNA from 1 species
ACGCUGGCGGCAUGCUUUACACAUGCAAGUCGGACGGCAGCACAGAGAAGCUUGCUUCUUGGGUGGCGAGUGGCGAACGGGUGAGUAAUAUAUCGGAACGUACCGAGUAAUGGGGGAUAACUAAUCGAAAGAUUAGCUAAUACCGCAUAUUCUCUGAGGAGGAAAGCAGGGGACCUUCGGGCCUUGCGUUAUUCGAGCGGCCGAUAUCUGAUUAGCUAGUUGGUGGGGUAAAGGCCUACCAAGGCGACGAUCAGUAGCGGGUCUGAGAGGAUGAUCCGCCACACUGGGACUGAGACACGGCCCAGACUCCUACGGGAGGCAGCAGUGGGGAAUUUUGGACAAUGGGCGCAAGCCUGAUCCAGCCAUGCCGCGUGUCUGAAGAAGGCCUUCGGGUUGUAAAGGACUUUUGUCAGGGAAGAAAAGGCUGUUGCUAAUACCGACAGCUGAUGACGGUACCUGAAGAAUAAGCACCGGCUAACUACGUGCCAGCAGCCGCGGUAAUACGUAGGGUACGAGCGUUAAUCGGAAUUACUGGGCGUAAAGCGAGCGCAGACGGUUACUUAAGCAGGAUGUGAAAUCCCGGGCUCAACCUGGGAACUGCGUUCUGAACUGGGUGACUAGAGUGUGUCAGAGGGAGGUAGAAUUCCACGUGUAGCAGUGAAAUGCGUAGAGAUGUGGAGGAAUACCGAUGGCGAAGGCAGCCUCCUGGGAUAACACUGACGUUCAUGCUCGAAAGCGUGGGUAGCAAACAGGAUUAGAUACCCUGGUAGUCCACGCCCUAAACGAUGUCAAUUAGCUGUUGGGCAACUUGAUUGCUUAGUAGCGUAGCUAACGCGUGAAAUUGACCGCCUGGGGAGUACGGUCGCAAGAUUAAAACUCAAACGAAUUGACGGGGACCCGCACAAGCGGUGGAUGAUG